rnacentral:rRNA from 1 species
AAUGAACGCUGGCGGCAGGCUUAACACAUGCAAGUCGAACGAGUGGCGGACGGGUGAGUAAUGCUUGGGAAUCUGGCUUAUGGAGGGGGGUAACGACGGGGAACUGUCGCUAAUACCGCGUACCAUAGGCUGAGCCCACGUGGGAUUAGGGAGGUGGUGGGUUAAUGGCCUACCAAGCCGACGAUCGCUAGCUGGUCGGAGAGGAUGACAAGCCACACCAGGAAGGGGACACGGCCCGGACUCCGACGGGAGGCAGCGGUGGGGAAUAGUGCGCAGUGGGGGCAACCUGACGAAGCCAGGCGGCGUGAAUGAAGAAGGCCUUCGGGUUGUAAAGUUCUUUCGGUGACGAGGCGUUAGUAACAGAAGAAGCACCGGCUAACUCCGUGCCAGCCGCCGCGGUAAUUC